UACGUAGGGAGCAAGCGUUGUUCGGAUUUACUGGGCGUAAAGGGCGCGUAGGCGGCAGAUCAAGUCAGCUGUGAAAUCUCCGAGCUUAACUCGGAACUGUCAGCUGAUACUGUUUUGCUAGAGUGCGGAAGGGGCAAUCGGAAUUCUUGGUGUAGCGGUGAAAUGCGUAGAUAUCAAGAGGAACACCUGAGGUGAAGACGGGUUGCUGGGCCGACACUGACGCUGAGGCGCGAAAGCCAGGGGAGCAAACGGG
rnacentral:rRNA from 1 species